AUUGAACGCUGGCGGCAGGCCUAACACAUGCAAGUCGAACGAGUGGCGGACGGGCGAGCAAUGUCUGGGACACCGACUGAUGGAGGGGGAUAACUACUGGAAACGGUAGCUAAUACCGCAUAACAUCAGAUGUGCCCAGAUGGGAUUAGCUAGUAGUGGGGGUAACGGCUCACCGAGGCGACGAUCCCUAUCUGGUCUGAGAGGAUGACAAGCCACAAUGGAACUGAGACACGGUCCAGAAUCCUACGGUAGGCAGCAGUGGGGAAUAUUGCACAAUGGGCGCAAGCCUGAUGCAGCCAUGCCGCGUGUAUGAAGAAGGCCUUCGGGUUGUAAAGUACUUUCAGCGGGGAGGCGUUACCCGCAGAAGAAGCAACGGCUAACUCCGUGCCAGCAGCCGCGGUAAGUC
rnacentral:rRNA from 1 species